rnacentral:piRNA from 2 species
GACUCUAGUCUGGCACGGUGAAG